AUGAGCCUGCUCUUGGCUCAAUCAAUGAUUGAUUUUUGCAUCGUAUUUGGCUUCACUCUUGACAGGCAAAAUAUUGUCAUUUUGGAGGCACGGUCUUUGAUUGGCUGCCGUCAUCAGAGGGCAGCAUUCCAAUUUGUUAGUCAAGCCAAAAGUGUCAUGAAAGAGGACAGGUCUUUGAUGGAGAAGGAAGAUUUGGGUAGUUAG